AUUGAACGCUGGCGGCAGGCUUAACACAUGCAAGUCGAGCGGGGUGAUGGUGCUUGCACUAUCACUUAGCGGCGGACGGGUGAGUAAUGCUUAGGAAUCUGCCUAUUAGUGGGGGACAACAUCUCGAAAGGGAUGCUAAUACCGCAUACGUCCUACGGGAGAAAGCAGGGGAUCACUUGUGACCUUGCGCUAAUAGAUGAGCCUAAGUCGGAGUAGCCAGUUGGGGGGGUAAAGGCCUACCAAGGCGACGAUCUGUAGCGGGUCUGAGAGGAUGAUCCGCCACACUGGGACUGAGACACGGCCCAGACUCCUACGGGAGGCAGCAGUGGGGAAUAUUGGACAAUGGGGGGAACCCUGAUCCAGCCAUGCCGCGUGUGUGAAGAAGGCCUUAUGGUUGUAAAGCACUUUAAGCGAGGAGGAGGCUCUUUUGGUUAAUACCCAGAAUGAGUGGACGUUACUCGCAGAAUAAGCACCGGCUAACUCUGUGCCAGCCGCCGCGGUAA
rnacentral:rRNA from 1 species